GAUGAGCGCUGGCGGCGUGCCUAACACAUGCAAGUCGAGCGAUUCUCUUCGGAGAAGAGCGGCGGACGGGUGAGUAACGCGUGGGUAACCUGCCCUGUACACACGGAUAACAUACCGAAAGGUAUGCUAAUACGGGAUAACAUGAGAGAGUCACAUGGCUUUCUUAUCAAAGCUUUUGCGGUACAGGAUGGACCCGCGUCUGAUUAGCUAGUUGGUAAGGUAACGGCUUACCAAGGCGACGAUCAGUAGCCGACCUGAGAGGGUGAUCGGCCACAUUGGAACUGAGACACGGUCCAAACUCCUACGGGAGGCAGCAGUGGGGAAUAUUGCACAAUGGGCGAAAGCCUGAUGCAGCAACGCCGCGUGAGCGAUGAAGGCCUUCGGGUCGUAAAGCUCUGUCCUCAAGGAAGAUAAUGACGGUACUUGAGGAGGAAGCCCCGGCUAACUACGUGCCAGCAGCCGCGGUAAUACGUAGGGGGCUAGCGUUAUCCGGAAUUACUGGGCGUAAAGGGUGCGUAGGUGGUUUCUUAAGUCAGAGGUGAAAGGCUACGGCUCAACCGUAGUAAGCCUUUGAAACUGAGAAACUUGAGUGCAGGAGAGGAGAGUAGAAUUCCUAGUGUAGCGGUGAAAUGCGUAGAUAUUAGGAGGAAUACCAGUUGCGAAGGCGGCUCUCUGGACUGUAACUGACACUGAGGCACGAAAGCGUGGGGAGCAAACAGGAUUAGAUACCCUGGUAGUCCACGCCGUAAACGAUGAGUACUAGCUGUCGGAGGUUACCCCCUUCGGUGGCGCAGCUAACGCAUUAAGUACUCCGCCUGGGAAGUACGCUCGCAAGAGUGAAAUUCAAAGGAAUUGACGGGGACCCGCACAAGUAGCGGAGCAUGUGGUUUAAUUCGAAGCAACGCGAAGAACCUUACCUAAGCUUGACAUCCUUUUGACCUCUCCCUAAUCGGAGAUUUCCCUUCGGGGACAGAAGUGAC
rnacentral:rRNA from 1 species